AUUGAACGCUGGCGGCAGGCCUAACACAUGCAAGUCGAACGAGUGGCGGACGGGUGAGUAAUGUCUGGGAAUCUGCCUGAUGGAGGGGGAUAACUACUGGAAACGGUAGCUAAUACCGCAUAUUCUUCUGACCGCCUAUAUGUGAUUAGCUAGUUGGUGGGGUAAAGGCAGACCAAGGCGAAGAUCAGUAGCGGGUCUGAGAGGAUGAUCAGCCACACUGGGACGGAGACACGGCCCAGACUCCUACGGGAGGCAGCAGUGGGGAAUGUUGCACAAUGGGCGCAAGCCUGAUCCAGCCAUGCCGCGUGUGUGAAGAAGGCCUUCGGGUUGUAAAGCACUUUCAGCGGGGAGGCGUUACCCGCAGAAGAAGCACCGGCUAACUCCGUGCCAGCAGCCGCGGUAAUUC
rnacentral:rRNA from 1 species